rnacentral:rRNA from 1 species
GUAGGGGCCAAGCGUUGUCCGGAUUUAUUGGGCGUAAAGAGCUCGUAGGCGGUUCGGCAAGUCAGCUGUGAAAUCUCCACGCUCAACGUGGAGGGGUCAGCUGAUACUGCUGUGACUUGAGUCCGGUAGGGGAGUGUGGAAUUCCCGGUGUAGCGGUGAAAUGCGCAGAUAUCGGGAGGAACACCAGUAGCGAAGGCGGCACUCUGGGCCGGUACUGACGCUGAGGAGAGAAAGCGUGGGGAGCAAACAGGAUUAGAUACCCUGGUAGUCCACGCCGUAAACGUUGGGCACUAGGUGUGGGACCCUAUCGACGGGUUCCGUGCCGUAGCUAACGCAUUAAGUGCCCCGCCUGGGGAGUACGGCCGCAAGGCUA